rnacentral:lncRNA from 1 species
UCUGGAACUCAAGAACUUGAAGUCAUAAAAACAGAAUGACAGUCGCCAAAGACUGGGUGUGGCUGGAGGGAAACUGUUGGUCAAAGAGGAGACAACUGCAGGCCGAAAGGAAACAUGAAUUUUGAGAUCUGAUGCACAGUGGGGUGACCAUUGUGUAUUUCAAAAUUACUAAACAAGUACAUUUCACGUGUCUUGCUACAAAAGUG